rnacentral:misc_RNA from 1 species
CCAAACUUGGUCAUUUAGAGGAAGUAAAAGUCGUAACAAGGUCUCCGUUGGUGAACCAGCGGAGGGAUCAUUACCGAGUUUUCAACUCCCAACCCUUUGUCAACGUACCUCUGUUGCUUUGGCGAGCCUGCUCUCAGGGCUCCCGGCCGCCUGGCUGGGUCGUGCUCGCCAGAGGACCACUAAACUCUUGUUUUUACACGUGUCGUCUGAGCAACUGUAUAAAUCAUACAAAACUUUCAACAACGGAUCUCUUGGUUCUGGCAUCGAUGAAGAACGCAGC